GAUUUUGCGCAGUGGCGAUAUUGAAACCAAUGAGGAUCAUCCGAGGUGCGAUUAUUGUUAGUUGAAAACAUGCUGCAGAUAAAAUAUUUCUUGGUAAACACACAAUUAAAAAUUUUAAUUUAGACAUUUCUA